UGAGGAAUAUUGAUCAAUGGGCGGGAGCCUGAACCAGCCAAGUCGCGUGAGGGAGGAAGGUCCUACGGAUUGUAAACCUCUUUAGACGCAGAGCAAUAAGGGCCACGUGUGGUCCGAUGAGAGUAUGCGUAGAAUAAGCAUCGGCUAACUCCGUGCCAGCAGCCGCGGUAAUACGGGGGAUGCGAGCGUUAUCCGGAUUCAUUGGGUUUAAAGGGUGCGUAGGCGGCUUUGCAAGUCAGCGGUGAAAGGCCCGGGCUCAACCCGGAAAGUGCCGUUGAUACUGUGAGGCUGGAAUGCGGAUGCUGUGGGAGGAAUGAGUGGUGUAGCGGUGAAAUGCAUAGAUAUCACUCAGAACACCGAUUGCGAAGGCAUCUCACAAAUCCGCAAUUGACGCUGAGGCACGAAAGCGUGGGGAUCGAACAGGAUUAGAUACCCUGGUAGU
rnacentral:rRNA from 1 species